rnacentral:rRNA from 1 species
CUACCAGACUCCUACGGGAGGCAGCAGUGGGGAAUAUUGCACAAUGGGGGGAACCCUGAUGCAGCGACGCCGCGUGGGUGAAGGAGUAUUUCGGUAUGUAAAGCCCUAUCAGCAGGGAAGAACAAUGACGGUACCUGACUAAGAAGCACCGGCUAAAUACGUGCCAGCAGCCGCGGUAAUACGUAUGGUGCAAGCGUUAUCCGGAUUUACUGGGUGUAAAGGGAGCGCAGGCGGCGCGUUAAGCCUGGUGCGAAAGCCCGCGGCCCAACCGCGGGACUGCAUUGGGAACUGGCGCGCUGGAGUGCCGGAGGGGUAGGCGGAAUUCCUAGUGUAGCGGUGAAAUGCGUAGAUAUUAGGAGGAACACCGGUGGCGAAGGCGGCCUGCUGGACUGUGACUGACGUUGAGGCCCGAAGGCGUGGGGAGCAAACAGGAUUAGAUACCCCAGUA